rnacentral:rRNA from 1 species
GACGAACGCUGGCGGCGUGCUUAACACAUGCAAGUCGAACGGAAAGGCCCUGCUUUUGUGGGGUGCUCGAGUGGCGAACGGGUGAGUAACACGUGAGUAACCUGCCCUUGACUUUGGGAUAACUUCAGGAAACUGGGGCUAAUACCGGAUAGGAGCACCUGCUGAAUGGUGGGGGUUGGAAAGUUUCGGCGGUUGGGGAUGGACUCGCGGCUUAUCAGCUUGUUGGUGGGGUAGUGGCUUACCAAGGCUGUGACGGGUAGCCGGCCUGAGAGGGUGACCGGCCACAUUGGGACUGAGAUACGGACCAGACGCCUACGGGAGGCAGCAGUGGGGAAUAUUGCACAAUGGGCGGAAGCCUGAUGCAGCAACGCCGCGUGCGGGAUGACGGCCUUCGGGUUGUAAACCGCUUUCGCCUGUGACGAAGCGUGAGUGACGGUAAUGGGUAAAGAAGCACCGGCUAACUACGUG